AGCACGCUUAGGCGUGUGACUGCGUACCUUUUGUAUAAUGGGUCAGCGACUUAUAUUCUGUAGCAAGGUUAACCGAAUAGGGGAGCCGAAGGGAAACCGAGUCUUAACUGGGCGUUAAGUUGCAGGGUAUAGACCCGAAACCCGGUGAUCUAGCCAUGGGCAGGUUGAAGGUUGGGUAACACUAACUGGAGGACCGAACCGACUAAUGUUGAAAAAUUAGCGGAUGACUUGUGGCUGGGGGUGAAAGGCCAAUCAAACCGGGAGAUAGCUGGUUCUCCCCGAAAGCUAUUUAGGUAGCGCCUCGUGAAUUCAUCUCCGGGGGUAGAGCACUGUUUCGGCAAGGGGGUCAUCCCGACUUACCAACCCGAUGCAAACUGCGAAUACCGGAGAAUGUUAUUACGGGAGACACACGGCGGGUGCUAACGUCCGUCGUGAAGAGGGAAACAACCCAGACCGCCAGCUAAGGUCCCAAAGUCAUGGUUAAGUGGGAAACGAUGUGGGAAGGCCCAGACAGCCAGGAUGUUGGCUUAGAAGCAGCCAUCAUUUAAAGAAAGCGUAAUAGCUCACUGGUCGAGUCGGCCUGCGCGGAAGAUGUAACGGGGCUAAACCAUGCACCGAAGCUGCGGCAGCGACGCUUAUGCGUUGUUGGGUAGGGGAGCGUUCUGUAAGCCUGUGAAGGUGUGCUGUGAGGUAUGCUGGAGGUAUCAGAAGUGCGAAUGCUGACAUAAGUAACGAUAAAGCGGGUGAAAAGCCCGCUCGCCGGAAGACCAAGGGUUCCUGUCCAACGUUAAUCGGGGCAGGGUGAGUCGACCCCUAAGGCGAGGCCGAAAGGCGUAGUCGAUGGGAAACAGGUUAAUAUUCCUGUACUUGGUGUUACUGCGAAGGGGGGACGGAGAAGGCUAUGUUGGCCGGGCGACGGUUGUCCCGGUUUAAGCGUGUAGGCUGGUUUUCCAGGCAAAUCCGGAAAAUCAAGGCCGAGGCGUGAUGACGAGGCACUACGGUGCUGAAGCAACAAAUGCCCUGCUUCCAGGAAAAGCCUCUAAGCAUCAGGUAACAUCAAAUCGUACCCCAAACCGACACAGGUGGUCAGGUAGAGAAUACCAAGGCGCUUGAGAGAACUCGGGUGAAGGAACUAGGCAAAAUGGUGCCGUAACUUCGGGAGAAGGCACGCUGAUACGUAGGUGAAGCGACUUGCUCGUGGAGCUGAAAUCAGUCGAAGAUACCAGCUGGCUGCAACUGUUUAUUAAAAACACAGCACUGUGCAAACACGAAAGUGGACGUAUACGGUGUGACGCCUGCCCGGUGCCGGAAGGUUAAUUGAUGGGGUUAGCGCAAGCGAAGCUCUUGAUCGAAGCCCCGGUAAACGGCGGCCGUAACUAUAACGGUCCUAAGGUAGCGAAAUUCCUUGUCGGGUAAGUUCCGACCUGCACGAAUGGCGUAAUGAUGGCCAGGCUGUCUCCACCCGAGACUCAGUGAAAUUGAACUCGCUGUGAAGAUGCAGUGUACCCGCGGCAAGACGGAAAGACCCCGUGAACCUUUACUAUAGCUUGACACUGAACAUUGAGCCUUGAUGUGUAGGAUAGGUGGGAGGCUUUGAAGUGUGGACGCCAGUCUGCAUGGAGCCGACCUUGAAAUACCACCCUUUAAUGUUUGAUGUUCUAACGUGGACCCGUGAUCCGGGUUGCGGACAGUGUCUGGUGGGUAGUUUGACUGGGGCGGUCUCCUCCUAAAGAGUAACGGAGGAGCACGAAGGUUGGCUAAUCCUGGUCGGACAUCAGGAGGUUAGUGCAAUGGCAUAAGCCAGCUUGACUGCGAGCGUGACGGCGCGAGCAGGUGCGAAAGCAGGUCAUAGUGAUCCGGUGGUUCUGAAUGGAAGGGCCAUCGCUCAACGGAUAAAAGGUACUCCGGGGAUAACAGGCUGAUACCGCCCAAGAGUUCAUAUCGACGGCGGUGUUUGGCACCUCGAUGUCGGCUCAUCACAUCCUGGGGCUGAAGUAGGUCCCAAGGGUAUGGCUGUUCGCCAUUUAAAGUGGUACGCGAGCUGGGUUUAGAACGUCGUGAGACAGUUCGGUCCCUAUCUGCCGUGGGCGCUGGAGAACUGAGGGGGGCUGCUCCUAGUACGAGAGGACCGGAGUGGACGCAUCACUGGUGUUCGGGUUGUCAUGCCAAUGGCACUGCCCGGUAGCUAAAUGCGGAAGAGAUAAGUGCUGAAAGCAUCUAAGCACGAAACUUGCCCCGAGAUGAGUUCUCCCUGACCCUUUAAGGGUCCUGAAGGAACGUUGAAGACGACGACGUUGAUAGGCCGGGUGUGUAAGCGCAGCGAUGCGUUGAGCUAACCGGUACUAAUGAACCGUGAGGCUUAACCUU
rnacentral:rRNA from 1 species